UGGACUCCCUUGGAGGAGCCGGGGACAGGGCUGAGCAGACCCCCUUCUCUGGCUGCAGGAGAAGCGCCGUGCGGAGAGAGCGGAGCAGCAGAGGAUUCGUGCAGAGAAGGAGAGGGAGCGCCAGAACAGACUGGCGGAGGAAAAGGCCAGAAGGGAGGAGGAGGAUGCCAAGAGGAGGGCAGAGGACGACCUGAAGAAGAAGAAAGCUCUGUCUUCCAUGGGAGCCAACUACAGCAGCUACCUGGCCAAGGCUGACCAGAAGAGAGGCAAGAAGCAGACGGCCCGGGAAAUGAAGAAGAAGAUUCUGGCUGAGAGACGCAAGCCGCUCAACAUCGACCACCUCGGUGAAGACAAACUGAGGGACAAGGCCAAGGAGCUCUGGGAGACCCUGCACCAGCUGGAGAUCGACAAGUUCGAGUUUGGGGAGAAGCUGAAACGCCAGAAAUAUGAUGUGAGUCCCGGCACCUCCGGCCCUGGGGCCCUAGCGGCUUUCACUCACCAGCAGAGCAGCCACCUCCCUGCGUCCCUGCCAAACUCUGGACCUGCCCACCCCAGGGACCUGGACCCUGAGAGGCCCAAACAGGCUGUUGCCACGGACCCCUGGCUGAGGCUGCUUUCCUGCUGGGGACUGUGGCCAGAGCCCGUCCUCCUGGCUGGCCAUGCAGCACCCUGAGCGAUGAACCUGGCCCCUUUGGGCGGCCUUGGUUACCCCUGCCAAAAGGACUGUCGUGGCAGAGCAGCCAUGGCCAAGUGGACUCAGGGUUCAUUUUCGGAGCCCCUUUAAACUUAUAGAAAGUCCCCAUCAUCACCCAGCUCGGCCCUGGGGCACCGAGUCCGUCUGGUGUGGGGUGUCCUUUCCACAGAGACUCCUCCACAAACCCAGACUCUGGCUUCCACCAGGGCCCUGGACACCUGCUUCCUCAGGGCAGACAGAGAGGGGUGACACACUGCACCCUGUGGCUGGGAAAAGGGGCCUGGGACUGUGCCCGUCUGGGACGGAGCAGAGCCACCAUCCCAUGCAGGCACUAUCGCCGCAGGCAAAGCUGGGACUGGGGAAGGCAGCCUGCCCGGGCGGCCUCAGGGACUGGGGUACAAUGUGGGACCUAGGGUGGA
rnacentral:sRNA from 1 species